rnacentral:rRNA from 1 species
GAUGAACGCUGGCGGCGUGCCUAACACAUGCAAGUCGAGCGAUUUACUUCGGUAAAGAGCGGCGGACGGGUGAGUAACGCGUGGGUAACCUGCCCUGUACACACGGAUAACAUACCGAAAGGUAUGCUAAUACGAGAUAAUAUACUUUUAUCGCAUGGUAGAAGUAUCAAAGCUCCGGCGGUACAGGAUGGACCAGCGUCUGACUAGCUAGUUGGUAAGGUAACGGCUUACCAAGGCGACGAUCAGUAGCCGACCUGUGAGGGUGAUCGGCGACAUUGGAACUGUGACACGGUCCAAACUCCUACGGCAGGCAGCAGUGGUGAAUAUUGCACAAUGGGCGAAAGCCUGAUGCAGCAGCGCCGCGUAAGCGAUGAAGGCCUUCGGGUCGUAAAGCUCUGUCCUCAAGGAAGAUAAUGACGGUACUUGAGGAGGAAGCCCCGGCUAACUACGUGCCAGCCGCCGCCGUAA